rnacentral:rRNA from 1 species
UACGUAGGGUGCGAGCGUUAAUCGGAAUUACUGGGCGUAAAGCGUGCGCAGGCGGUUCGUUGUGUCGGUGGUGAAAUCCCCGGGCUCAACCUGGGAAUUGCGUUGGAGACUGCAAGGCUAGAAUCUGGCAGAGGGGGGUAGAAUUCCACGUGUAGCAGUGAAAUGCGUAGAGAUGUGGAGGAACACCGAUGGCGAAGGCAGCCCCCUGGGUCAAGAUUGACGCUCAUGCACGAAAGCGUGGGGAGCAAACAGG